rnacentral:rRNA from 1 species
AUGGCCUCACAAUGCCCUCUGAAAUACUCGUCAAGGUUGAAAUUGUUAUUAAGGAAGACAAAACGCCCGAGAUCAUGGCUACCCAUCCAGUCGCGUGACUGGAGUUGUUACAACCCCAUGUACUACGAUGCUUACAUCGUGGAGUUGCAUGGCGAGUUGUUGAUUGCGGAGAGGGAACGAUGGUUGAGCAACGGUAAGUAUUUCUUCAGGGUAUUCAAGCUCGUCUAUGCUGACAAUGGCGAGUCUCACAAGCAGAAGUGGGCACACGUGACGAAUUUCGGCGAGUAUGCAUUAUUCUUGGGGUUGUCUAAAGCAGUACAUGUGCCGGUUGGUGGGCAUCAUGGUAUAAAGAGAAAUCACAUCUACUAUUAUAGCCCUACAACUGAAGAAGAAUUGCCUGAUGACAAGGUGGUGUACUCUGUACGGACAGCCGAUGGUGAUCAAGUGUACUGCAGGGAAGACCAAGGAAGGACAGGAUAUUAUUUAAUGCAUUGUUAUAAUAAUCCCACAUGGCGGGGACGUUGUAAUUCUGCCAGGUGGCAUUACCCUCCGGACUUCUAG